UGGAAAGUUUUUAUAAUCACCAGUGACUUGCCAGAUGCAGGGACCAGCUCACAGAUUUAUAUUAUUCUGUAUGGACAACAUAGAAGUUCAGCCCCCAUAUAUCUUUAUGGAACAGAUGGGGCUCGAUUUCAGGUUGGCCAUGAAGACAUAUUUACUUUGGAGACAUUGGAGCACUCUUUAAGAUUCGUAUUGGUCAUACCAACUCUGGAUCCUCCCCUUCCUGGCACUGCAAGGAGAUACAGCUGCAUAAUAUGAAUUCUGGAAAACAGUUUUAUGUACCUGUUCAACGAUGGUUGGCACGAGAUCAAGAGGAUGGGGAAAUCUGUCGAGAAUUUCCUCUUUUAAUGACAAUAUAUGAAGUGAAUGUGGCAACGGGUGAGCUAUGGAAUGCUGGAACAGUAGCAAACGUCUACAUUUCUAUCCAUGGGGAAAAGGGAGAUACAGGAUCCAGACAACUAUUUAGAUCGAAGAGCUCCUUCAAUUUUUUAAGAGGACAAACUGACACCUUUUUCCUGGAGGCUGUGCACCUUGGAGAUUUGUGUAAGAUUGUGAUAGGCCAUGAUGGACUUGGUUGAAAUAAGAAACACUGGAAACAUAUAUAAGAUAAGGAUAGGACAUGAUGGAACCAGUGAGCAACCCGAGUGGAACUUGCAGAGGAUGACACAAUUUGGUCAUUUUUUCUUCUAAUUCCAGGUGACCAUGCAACAUAUGAAAAGCAAGAAGAUCCUAGAUUUUGCAGCAAACGUAUGGCUGUCUCGGAUUCAGGCAGAUGGGGAUGUUGUCUGUGAGCUUCCUGUAUGGUGCUUUAUGAGAUUCGCAUAUACACAGGCACAAUGACAGGUGCAGAAACAGAGUCUAAUGUAUUUAUCAACCUCAUCGGUACCAGAGGUGAUUCAGGAAAACGAAGACUUCAUCAGUCCAAAAACAAUGAAAUCAAGUUUCAGCGUGGACAGAUGGCUAGAUGAGUACCAAGAUGAUGGCAAGACCCAGCGGGAAUUGCUCGCAGAAAGUAGU
rnacentral:lncRNA from 10 species